rnacentral:rRNA from 1 species
CAGUAGCCGCGGUAAUACAGAGGGUGCGAGCGUUAAUCGGAUUUACUGGGCGUAAAGCGUGCGUAGGUGGUGGUUUAAGUCCGUUGUGAAAGCCCUGGGCUCAACCUGGGAAUUGCAGUGGAUACUGGGUCACUAGAGUGUGGUAGAGGAUAGUGGAAUUUCCGGUGUAGCAGUGAAAUGCGUAGAGAUCGGAAGGAACAUCUGUGGCGAAGGCGACUAUCUGGGCCAACACUGACACUGAGGCACGAAAGCGUGGGGAGCAAACAGGAUUAGAUACCCCCGUAGUCCCUGUCUCUUAUCC